AGCCACCCAGACGCCCCGAAAUCUGGGCCUGGGGAGUUGAACACUGGCCUGUGUGAAUUUCCAACUCCAGACCCUCAGUGAUAAUGACAGAAGGGAAGAAGAGGAUUUGGAAAUCAUUCAGCAAGUCUAAUAAUAUACACAGCAUUUCUUUUUCAACUGGAUGGACCCUCAAUCUUCACCAUCAUCACAUUAAAUAUCUUAUUAUACUUUGGAUUCCAUGAAGUCAGCAAUUUCCUCUGCUAUAUAUAAAACAUGAUAGAAGUGCUAUAUUUUAAGACAAAAAAAGAAUAAGACAAGAAAACAAAAAUCAAAUAAAGCUUAGAAAAAAAUACAACUGUAAUUUAUAUCAAGUUAAAGAAGAAAACCAGAACUGUUUAUUCAUAGAGGUUCCGGAAGAUACUGGAUAAAAUCCUACCAACAUCCUUAAUAAAAAGUCUAAGUAGAUAGAAAUAAAAUACCAAGCA